CUGGAGACAGGCGGCUGCAUGGCUGUCGUCAGCUCGUGUCGUGAGAUGUUGGGUUAAGUCCCGCAACGAGCGCAACCCUUGCCUUUAGUUGCCAGCAGUUCGGCUGGGCACUCUAAAGGGACUGCCGGUGUUAAACCGGAGGAAGUGGGGAUGACGUCAAGUCCUCAUGGCCUUUAUGACCAGGGCUACACACGUACUACAAUGGCCGAUACAAAGGGCAGCGACACUGCGAGGUGAAGCCAAUCCCGUAAAAUCGGUCUCAGUCCGGAUUGGAGUCUGCAACUCGACUCCAUGAAGUUGGAAUCGCUAGUAAUCGUGGAUCAGCAUGCCACGGUGAAUACGUUCCCGGGCCUU
rnacentral:rRNA from 1 species